rnacentral:rRNA from 1 species
GACGAACCACACGAACGUUAUUCGGAAUUACUGGGCUUAAAGGGUGCGUAGGCUGUGCAGAAAGUUAGGUGUGAAAUCCCCCGGCUCAACCGGGGAAUUGCGCUUAAAACUACUGUGCUAGAGAAAGAUAGAGGUGAGCGGAACUUCGGGUGGAGCGGUGAAAUGCGUUGAUAUCCGAAGGAACACCGGUGGCGAAAGCGACUUCCUGGACCAGUACCGACGUUCAGGCACGAAAGCGUGGGGAGCAAACAGG